AGAGCGAACGCUGGCGGCAGGCCUAACACAUGCAAGUCGAGCGCCCGUAGCAAUACGGGAGCGGCAGACGGGAUAGUAACACGUGGGAACGCGCCCUUCGGUUCGGAAUAACUCAGGGAAACUUGAGCUAAUACCGGAUACGCCCUUACGGGGAAAGAUUUAUUGCCGAAGGAACGGCCCGCGUCCGAUUAGCUAGUUGGUGAGGUAAUGGCUCACCAAGGCGACGAUCGGUAGCUGGUCUGAGAGGAUGACCAGCAUCACUGGGACUGAGACACGGCCCAGACUCCUACGGUAGGCAGCAGUGGGGAAUAUGGACAAUGGCGCAAGCCUGAUCCAGCCAUGCCGCGUGGAUGAUGAAGGCCUUAGGGUUGUAAAGUCCUUUUAACGGGGAAGAUAAUGACGGUACCCGUAGAAUAAGCCCGGCUAACUUCGCGCCAGCAGCCGC
rnacentral:rRNA from 1 species